GCUAGUUGGUGCUUUCUCCGGGACGGAAACGUUAGCCAGGAGUAGCCCAGGAGCCGUAGCCAGGAGAUGGGCCUAGCAUGGGCUAGCUCCAGGCUAGUUGGUGCUUUCUCCGGGACGGAAACGUUAGCCAGGAGUAGCCCAGGAGCCCUAGCCAGGAGAUGGGUCUAGCAUGGGCUAGCCCCAGGCUAGUUGGUGCUUUCUCCGGGACGGAAACGUUAGCCAGGAGUAGCCCAGGAGCCCUAGCCAGGAGAUGGGCCUAGCAUGGGCUAGCCCCAGGCUAGUUGGUGCUUUCUCCGGGACGGAAACGUUAGCCAGGAGUAGCCCAGGAGCCCUAGCCAGGAGAUGGGUCUAGCAUGGGCUAGCCCCAGGCUAGUUGGUGCUUUCUCCGGGACGGAAACGUUAGCCAGCAGUAGUCAACCCGGGUUGCGGUUAGGUAGCUGCCAUGAUCCAGAUGAAAAGGGUUCAGAGUUUGCGGUAGGAAUCCGGGGAAUUGAUAGUUCACCUCUGUAUUUUGUCACUCGCUGAUCUGUUUCACCUGUCUUGUGCUUGUCUCCACCUCCCCCUCCUGGUGUCUCCCACUUUUCUCCACUAUCCAUUAUCCC
rnacentral:lncRNA from 1 species